UGUAGAUGUGUGCGGGAGCGAAACAGAGAGGAGGAGGGAAUGUGAAUGUGCAAGGCAAGAAAGAAACGAAACACUUGAAUUUCAGGGUUCCGUUGGGGGAAUAUAUAUUUUUUGUUUUAACGGUGCGCGAUCUGCCCGCACUACACUCGAGAUCGAUCUACCUUUUGGGCGCCCCUGCUUUAGAAAGUUUACAAAGCUGGUGGCCUGUGGAUACAGACCACACAGUGGAUACAGUACGCAACCACAGAUUGUGAUUCAUGUCCUGUGAGCCCCUCAGGAAUCCUGCAGAUCACAUCAGUCUGGUCUUUACGUGCACAUCAUCUACGGCUGUGAGUUUAGGAAGCUCAAACAGAU